CUACGGAAAAGCUGUAGCUAAUACUUGCUUUAAGUGCUUUUUACUUCUUGGAGUAAUUAGCAUGUAUUUGUUAAGCCUUAUAAGAAAAAUUUUUAAUUAAAGGAAUUAUAACAAAGAAGUAACACAUAAUAUAUUUACUAUAUUUAGUGUGUAUCAAUCGAGUUUCUGACCUAUCAGCUUUUGAUGUUAGGGUAUUGGCCUAACAUGGCUAUGACGGGUAACGGGGAAUUAGAGUUCGAUUCCGGAGAGGGAGCCUGAGAAAUAGCUACCACAUCUAAGGAAGGCAGCAGGCGCGUAAAUUACCCAAUUCUAAAUAAGAGAGGUAGUGACAAGAAAUAACAAUAUAAGGCCAAAUUUUGGUUUUAUAAUUGGAAUGAUGGGAAUUUAAAACCUUCCCAAAAAUCAAUUGGAGGGCAAGUCUGGUGCCAGCAGCCGCGGUAAUUCCAGCUCCAAUAGCGUAUAUUAAAAUUGUUGCAGUUAAAACGCUCGUAGUUGAACUUCAAGGGUAUAAUUAUUUUAAGCAACUCACUUGGAAAGAAUCAUGACUUCUGUCACUGCUUUUAUCCUUGUUGCAGUUCUUUUAAUACAGGGCCCUUUGAGAGCCCAUUAAUUUAUGACUGGGUUUCUCGUUACUUUGAGUAAAUUAGAGUGUUUAAAGCAAACAGAUAAAGCGUAUUUUACUGUGUUUGAAUACUAUAGCAUGGAAUAACAACAUUGAAUAGGUCAAAAGUUUUUGAAAAAUUUUUCUUAUUUUGGCUUAGAUACAGUUAAUAGGAGUAGCUUGGGGGCAUUUGUAUUCAGAUGUCAGAGGUGAAAUUCUU
rfam:Plasmodium berghei strain K173 genome assembly, contig: NODE_1787_length_767_cov_29.010429